AGUGAACGCUGGCGGUAGGCCUAACACAUGCAAGUCGAACGGCAGCACAGUAAGAGCUUGCUCUUACGGGUGGCGAGUGGCGGACGGGUGAGGAAUACAUCGGAAUCUACUUUUUCGUGGGGGAUAACGUAGGGAAACUUACGCUAAUACCGCAUACGACCUACGGGUGAAAGCAGGGGAUCUUCGGACCUUGCGCGAUUGAAUGAGCCGAUGUCGGAUUAGCUAGUUGGCGGGGUAAAGGCCCACCAAGGCGACGCUCCGUAGCUGGUCUGAGAGGAUGAUCAGCCACACUGGAACUGAGACACGGUCCAGACUCCUACGGGAGGCAGCAGUGUGGAAUAUUGGACAAUGGGCGCAAGCCUGAUCCAGCCAUACCGCGUGGGUGAAGAAGGCCUUCUGGUUGUAAAGCCCUUUUGUUGGGAAAGAAAAGCAGCAGGUUAAUACCCCGCUGUUCUGACGGUACCCAAAGAAUAAGCACCGGCUAACUUCGUG
rnacentral:rRNA from 1 species